rnacentral:tRNA from 1 species
GCGGCCGUGCCGGAGUGGCCUAACGGGCUAGGCUUAGGACCUAGUGGCUUAGUGCCUUCGCAGGUUCAAAUCCUGUCGGCCGCA